rnacentral:rRNA from 1 species
UGCCAUCCGCCGCGGUAAUAUGAAGGUCCCAAGCGUUGUUCGGAAUCACUGGGCGUAGAGCGUGUGUAGGCUGCGCGGAAAGUCAAAUGUGAAAGCACCGGGCUCAACCUGGGAACUGCAUUCGAUACUGGCAGACUAGAGUGCGGGAGAGGGAGGUAGAAUUCCAUGUGUAGCGGUGAAAUGCGUAGAUAUGUGGAGGAAUACCAGUGGCGAAGGCGGCCUCCUGGCUCGACACUGACACUGAGGCGCGAAAGCGUGGGGAGCAAACCGGAUUAGAUA